UCAGGCGGUCGCCGCACGGCGCAGCCGGCCGCUGCGGUCGGCCAGAUGCUGCAAGGCCGGCAGGCCGGCCAGGAUCAUGGCGUAGCGCCCGAAC
rnacentral:tRNA from 1 species